ensembl:lncRNA
CUGUUAGCAUCACCGCGCGCGUGCAGUCUUUUAAUUCUACUUUAUUCUUCUUCUCAUUGUUAUCAUGAUCAUUUCUUAAAAAGAAUCUGAUGUCAUUUGGCCUCGCUAGUUCUGUAUUCACGCCUCCGAUCACGCAAAGCACAGUCAAUAUUCCACGCCUUUUCCACUACAUAAACUGCAUGACGGAAUUAUUAUGCACCGCGCGUGCUGUUUACUUUAGUGCCAACUUCACUAUCAUCACCGCUUAUCUACCGAUACGUUACCGAGAAAUGACAUAAACGAUACAAAAAUGCAUGAAAAUCAGCUUUAAAACUGUCUCCGCACUCAGCAUUUUUCCAGAAGAGAGAGAGAGAGAGAAGGAGGACAAGACAUUCCACCCUGCCAUUUAUUAGCCAAAGUGGAUUAAUGGUACACACCUGCUUUCCUGUACACAGCGUCACUGUAUUAGCUGGCGCAAAACGCAGCAAAAAUCCACCGAACAGCGACCGAGGCUCUCUUGGGGGAUGUGUGUGGGAGGGGAGGGGGGCGGCUUGGGCUCCCGAGUGUACUGUUUGACGACGCUAUAAGCCAUAAUAGGGACAGGCUGUGACGGACUGUCUGGGCCUCAUGCCGAAAUUUUAUUAUUAUUAUUUUCUUUUUUUACAAAACUUUGUGUAGCUAAGCAUCAAUUAUGUGCAGUAUUAAUCAUGUCAGUGGAAGGUCCUCAUAAGGAUAGUAAGCGUGUGUGUGUGUGUGUGUGUGUGUGUGUGUUAGUAAGAGUUUAUCCAGACAACACUGAUAUCUGAUGUUAUUUAUUGAUGUGUAUACUCACACACACCUGACGUUGAAGCUUUGAGGUGUAAAUCCAUGUUUUGUCUGACCCCUGCGUUCCGGCCAAUCAGAUCGUCCCGUUCGGCGUGAGCGCUCCACUCUCGGAUAUAAACACGUUUUUCACGCGGCUCUUUGAUCUUGACCGUGCUCCAUAAACAUGCGACUUAUUUUCGUAAUCAGCUUCGAAUAAUUAUCUCUAACUUCCUGUGGCGAGUUUACACAACAGUGUUGAUUGCUUCAUUUUUUUUUUUUUAUGUUUAAAAUCUAUGCUUCGUCAUUUUCUUGUGGUUGGUUUAAAAGUAGGCGGGGCCAUGAGGGAAACGGUCCCACGUGCGAUAUAACCAUGUUUCAGAGGUCGAAACCAGAGCAGCGAUAAAUCGGUUGAACGCGCGUCGUGAUGACGUCACGUGACUCGGUAUAUUUUGAAAAAUCGCACGCUCCUCCGAAUAUCGCGUAAACAUCGAUACGACGGUUAUUGAUCAGCGCGUUAUUUUCUCGAUGUGUCUUUGAGACGUCGACGGUGUACGUUUAAAAACGUAUAAACUUGCGCUUCAUAGCAAUCGUUCGACCCCUAUGACCUUUCGCUAAUGUUAAAUGACGAAUUUCCUGUUUACGAGAUCGGACACGCCCACAACAGUGUUUUAUUUAUUUAUUUGUUUGUUUGUUUAUUUAUUCGGAGCGCAGUUAAAGUGUGUAUAUUCUACACCUUGGGUAUUAUUUGUAAGCUUCGAUAAAAGAAGUAGCUUUUGUCCUCCUGUGCCUAAAAAAAAUAAAAACGCGACUGGGACUGUAAAUGAGUGUGUUUAGCAGCCCGCCGUGCCUUACUUCAGACACUACCUCUACUCGGUGCCAGGUAAAGUAAAAUGGAUUGAUACGCCGCUGUUUAAUUGAAAAGAUAUGACACGGUGUAAGGGUGUUUAAUUUUAUUCACGGUCCCACAUGUGAAAUACCGCAGGGUUCAACCGUUAUUACACGACACAGAGAGAGAGAGAGCGAGAGAGAGAGCGAGAGAGAGAGAGAGAGAGAGAGAGAGAGAGAGCGAGCGCUUACGUGCUGAAACACUGAAAAGUGCUGCACUUCCUGGCGAAGGUAAAAAAGUAAGGAACCAAUCAGACAUUGUAGUGCUGCCGUAGACCCCCCGAGUGAGACACGCGAGUCUGACAUAGGCCACGCCUCCCGGCCGCUACAGCACGGCAGGGUUCUACAGUGAUUGUUUAAAUGAUUUUUUUAACAGCACGCCAGGGUGAGUCCUCUGAAACGUCGUGUCGUGGGAUGAUCUCGGCCAGGAGGCGGGGCGAAUAUUCUGUCUUGAGAACGUGAUGUUAACACUGGAGUAGAGAGUGUCAGCGUUUUUACUCUUUCACAGGCUGUAACACACUGCAAACACACACACACACACACACACACACACACACACACACACACACACACACACACACUUCCCUGUUUCAGGGGCUUGAGAUUAAACUGCAGAGAGAACAUGCUGGUCCAGUGAACCAAUUCAUUUUCACA